rnacentral:tRNA from 1 species
GCUUGUAGCUCAGGUGGUUAGAGCGCACGCCUGAUAAGCGUGAGGUCGGAGGUUCGAGUCCUCCCAGGCC